rnacentral:rRNA from 1 species
AUUCCAGCUCCAAGAGCGUAUAUUAAAGUUGUUGCAGUUAAAAAGCUCGUAGUUGGAUUUCUGGUCUAAUGCGCCUGGCCCGCUGCCGUUAGGUAUGUGAGUGCCGGUGCGCGUUUACCAUCCUUCCAGAGAACACUUCUACCAUUUAUUUGGACGGAUGUUGUCUUCUGGAUCUUUUACUUUGAAAAAAUUAGAGUGUUUAAAGCAGGCAUAAUAAUCUAGGACUUCGGUUCUAUUUUGUUGGUUUCUAGUACUGAAGUAAUGAUUGAUAGGGAUAGUUGGGGGUGCUAGUAUUGGCCGGCCAGAGGUGAAAUUCUUGGAUUCGGUCAAGACUAACUUAUGCGAAAGCAUUCACCAAGGAUGUCCUCAUCA